rfam:Actinobacteria bacterium RBG_13_63_9 RBG_13_scaffold_5700, whole genome shotgun sequence.
GGUCAAGCUACUAAGGGCGAACGGUGGAUGCCUUGGCGCCAGGAGACGAUGAAGGACGUGGCUAGCUGCGAUAAGCCUCGGGGAGCCGCCAGCGGGCUUAGAUCCGAGGAUUUCCGAAUGGGGAAACCCGGCCAGGGUCAUACCUGGUCAUCGUGCGGUGAAUGCAUAGCCGUACGAGGUGGACGGGGGGAAGUGAAAUAUCUCAGUACCCCCAGGAAAAGAAAUCAAUCAGAGAUUCCCUGAGUAGCGACGAGCGAACGGGGAACAGCCCAAACCGGUGAAAUGUAAGCCUGCAAGCGUUGUUUCACCGGGGUUGUGGGACUCAGUCGGAGGGCGUUGCAGCACCCUCGGGAAGUUACCAAUCCGGACCGUAGCUGAAGGGCAUGGAAAGGCCCACGAUACAGAGUGAUAGUCUCGUAGGCGAAACGGUACCAGACUUCCUUGAUUGAGUUCCCGAGUACCGCGGGGCACGUGAAACCCCGUGGGAAUCUGGGAGGACCAUCUUCCAAGGCUAAAUACUUCCUGGCGACCGAUAGUGCACAAGUACCGUGAGGGAAAGGUGAAAAGCACCCCUAUCAGGGGAGUGAAAUAGAUCCUGAAUCCGUUUGCCUACAUUCAGUGGGAGCCCUAUGGGCGGUGGCAACACCGUCCAGGGUGACCGCGUGCCUUUUGCAUAAUGAGUCAGCGAGUUACUUUGCGCAGCAAGGUUAAGGUCCUAUCGACCGGAGCCGUAGCGAAAGCGAGUCUGAACAGGGCGACUAGUUGCGUGAAGUAGACCCGAAGCGGGAUGAUCUACCCAUGGCCAGGGUGAAAGUCGGGUAAAACCGACUGAAGGCCCGAACCGGUGUUGGUUGAAAACAGCUCGGAUGAGCUGUGGGUAGGGGUGAAAGGCCAAUCAAAUUCCGUGAUAGCUGGUUCUCCCCGAAAUAUAUUUAGGUAUAGCCUCGAGUGAUGACUCGUGGAGGUAGAGCACUGGAUGGGCGCGGGAUCUUACCAGAUUACCAAACCUAACCAAACUCCGAAUGCCACGAAGUUUAGCUCGGGAGUCAGACCCUGGGAGAUAAGUUCCGGGGUCGAGAGGGAAACAGCCCAGACCGCCAGCUAAGGUCCCUAAAUCUAGGCUAAGUGGAGAAGGAUGUGGAAGCGCACAGACAACCAGGAGGUUGGCUUAGAAGCAGCCAUCCUUUAAAGAAAGCGUAACAGCUCACUGGUCAAGUGAAUCUGCGCCAAAAAUUCAACGGGGCUCAAGCCUAGUACCGAAGCUGCGGACUUCCAGAACCCCCGGGUUCCGGGAGUGGUAGGGGAGCAUUCCAGUUGCCUGUGAAGGCAGACCGCGAGGACUGCUGGAGGUCCUGGAAGAGCGUAUGCUGACAUUAGUAGCGAUAAUGCAUGUGAAAAACAUGCACGCCGUAAGCCUAAGGUUUCCUGAGUAAAGUUAAUCUUCUCAGGGUUAGCCGGUCCCUAAGCCGAGGCCGACAGGCGUAGGCGAUGGAAAACGGGUUAAUAUUCCCGUGCCACUAGGGCAACGUUAUCAGCGAAGGGGUGACGGAGAAGGGUAGACCAUCCGGGUGUUGGACGUCCCGGUUUAAGCCUGUAGGAGGGUUCGGUAGGCAAAUCCGCCGGGCCAUAACUCCGAGAGGUGACGACGAGGGAGCUUGCUCCCAUAAAGUGGUUGAACCCACGCUUCCAAGAAAAGCCUCGUAGCGAGUCGUCCUGGUGACCGUACCGCAAACCGACACAGGUAGGCAGGGAGAGUAUCCCAAGGCGCUUGAGUGAAACCUGGUUAAGGAACUCGGCAAAAUAACACCGUAACUUCGGGAAAAGGUGUGCCUCUAUUAGGUGUAGGACUUCGCGUCUGAAGCCGAAGGAGGUUGCAGUGAAAAGGCAGUGGCGACUGUUUAAUAAAAACACAGGGCUGUGCUAAGUCGUAAGACAACGUAUACAGCCUGACGCCUGCCCGGUGCCGGAAGGUUAAGGGGAGCCGUUAAUUCAGGGUAACCUGGGUGAAGCGGUGAACUGAAGCCCCGGUAAACGGCGGCCGUAACUAUAACGGUCCUAAGGUUAACGAUUCGCUAGCCUUAGUAAAACUGAACCAUAUGCGGGAAACUCCUCAACAGCCGAUCGGUACUCGCCGGCCAAGCGGUCGACAGUAAAAAUCCGACGGACACGGGGACAAUCCGCAGGGAAGGCCUGGUCUGCGCCAGGAACCCUCAGAGACUUGACGUUCGGGACCUACCGAUGAAGCUCGACUCUCAAUGGGUGACAGGCUUUGUGGACGGUGAAGGUUGUUUCUACGUGGGGAUCAAUCCUCAUCCGGAAAUGACCGCAGGUUUUCAGGUUUUACCUGAAUUUACCGUCGUGCAGCACAAACGCGAUGUGCAACUGCUUCAUGCCUUGAAGUCUUUCUUCGAUUGUGGGGUUGUUCGAACCAACCACGGCGAUAGGAUGGCUUACAGGGUUCGAAGCAAAGAGCACUUACUUGAGCGCAUCGUCCCAUUUUUUAUCGAGCACCCGCUGAAAUCGAAGAAGCGCGUCGACUUCGAGAAGUUCAGACGAGUUCUCCUCAUGAUGAAAGCGGGUGAUCAUUUGAAGUCCGAAGGUGUGGAGGAAAUUCGCCGCAUCGUGGCUCAGAUGAAUCGAGGUGGGUCAAGGUAAAGUCCGGCCUAUUCGGAAACGGAUGGGGUGAACCGAGCGAAAUUCCUUGUCGGGUAAGUUCCGACCUGCACGAAUGGCGUAACGACUGCUGCUCUGUCUCAACCAGGUGCUCAGCGAAGUUGAAAUGUCGGUGAAGAUGCCGACUGCCCGCGCCAAGACGGAAAGACCCCGUGCACCUUUACUACAACUUAGCAAUGGAUCUCGGGUCAACAUGUGUAGGAUAGGUGGGAGGCGUCGAAAUCGGGCCGCUAGGUCCGAUGGAGCCAACCUUGAAAUACCACCCUUGUUGUUCUGAGGUUCUAACCUGGGCCCGUCAUCCGGGUCAGGGACAUUGCUUGGUGGGUAGUUUGACUGGGGCGGUCGCCUCCUAAAGAGUAACGGAGGCGCGCGAUGGUUCCCUCAGGCUGAUUGGAAACCAGCCGUAGAGUGUAAAGGCAUAAGGGAGCUUAACUGCGAGACCAACAAGUCAAGCAGGUACGAAAGUAGGUCUUAGUGAUCCGGCGGUCCCGCAUGGAAGGGCCGUCGCUCAACGGAUAAAAGGUACGCCGGGGAUAACAGGCUUAUCU